rnacentral:rRNA from 1 species
GUUCAUGACUGGGGUGAAGUCGUAACAAGGUAGCCGUAGGGGAACCUGCGGCUGGAUCACCUCCUUAAACGAU